CUCUGGGGGAUGGGACAGGACCCCACAAGUUGGGGCAGGGGACACUUGUAUCCAUUCUUCUUGGAUGAUCCUCACCCCAGCCGUAGGAGGAGGUGGGCAAGUCUCCAUGGCACUCAGGCUCUUUACCACAUCCAUCCCCAGCUACUGGCUUGCUGGCUACCAUGAGUGUCUAUUCAGUGUGUACUUACUCUGUGCCCAGCACCGAGGACCACAGCAGCAGAGUGAACACUGUAGCAGUCACUGGUCUGCAGCUCACUCUGAGUUGACAAACACAGAGACUUAUACCUGUGGAACCCGACCAGGAGGUGAUGUUGGUGGCAGUGAUGGAGGAUGGUUGGGCAGAGGACUGGGGCGCUGCUCUCUGGAGAUGCAGGGGAAUGGGGGCCACGGGGUGCACUAAUGGAAGGAUCUGGGGUGUUAGAGAGGGUCCAGGAUGACAUGCAGGGUUUGGGCCUGACAGUUGCCACAUGCUAAAUUGGGAAGGAUGAGGAUGGUGUAGGUUUGGGGAGCAAGAGGUUCAGGCUUAGGCAUAUGAAACUCGAGGUUCCUAUUAGGCACACACGUGCAGAUUGUGAAUGAAAAAUCGGAUACAUAAGCUGUAGCUCAGAAGAGAUACGCAAGCUUGGGAA
rnacentral:lncRNA from 1 species